rnacentral:rRNA from 1 species
UUGAUCCUACGGGACGCAGCAGUGAGGAAUAUUGGUCAACGGGCGCGAGCCUGAACCAGCCACGUCGCGUGAGGGAUGACGGCCCUACGGGUUGUAAACCUCUUUUGUCGGGGAGCAAAUUCCGCCACGCGUGGCGGAGUCGAGAGUACCCGAAGAAAAAGCAUCGGCUAACUCCGUGCCAGCAGCCGCGGUAAUACGGAGGAUGCGAGCGUUAUCCGGAUUUAUUGGGUUUAAAGGGUGCGUAGGCGGACUGUCUAGUCAGCGGUAAAAUACGGGGGCUCAACCUCCGCCCGCCGUUGAAACUG